GAGGAAGACUUGGAAUACACUGAGGUCCAGAUAAUUCAGCUAGAAGACAAUGGGAAUGCUGAUACCCUCAUGGCAUCUCAAGAGGACCAGGCUGUCUCAGUCAUCUAUUCUGAUGUGAAGAUGGAGCUUCCAGAUCCAUCAUGAAAGGCGGCAGGAUGUCCUACACCUGUGAGUUGUCUGUGAUCCAGAGUUCCACGCCUACCACAGUCUUCAUGAUCCCUGACGUG